rnacentral:rRNA from 1 species
UACGGGGGGGGGCAAGCGUUGUUCGGAAUUACUGGGCGUAAAGGGCUCGUAGGCGGCCAACUAAGUCAGACGUGAAAUCCCUCGGCUUAACCGGGGAACUGCGUCUGAUACUGGAUGGCUUGAGUUUGGGAGAGGGAUGCGGAAUUCCAGGUGUAGCGGUGAAAUGCGUAGAUAUCUGGAGGAACACUGGUGGCGAAGGCGGCAUCCUGGACCAAUAUUGACGCUGAGGAGCGAAAGCCAGGGGAGCAAACGGGG